rnacentral:rRNA from 1 species
GUCUACGGCCAUACCACCCUGAACGCGCCCGAUCUCGUCUGAUCUCGGAAGCUAAGCAGGGUCGGGCCUGGUUAGUACUUGGAUGGGAGAAGGGGGCCUUACCGGAACACCAGCUCUUUUUCCU